rnacentral:rRNA from 2 species
AAAUUGAAGAGUUUGAUCAUGGCUCAGAUUGAACGCUGGCGGCAGGCCUAACACAUGCAAGUCGAACGGUAGCACAGAGAGCUUGCUCUCGGGUGACGAGUGGCGGACGGGUGAGUAAUGUCUGGGAAACUGCCUGAUGGAGGGGGAUAACUACUGGAAACGGUGGCUAAUACCGCAUAACGUCGCAAGACCAAAGAGGGGGACCUUCGGGCCUCUUGCCAUCAGAUGUGCCCAGAUGGGAUUAGCUGGUUGGUGAGGUAACGGCUCACCAAGGCGACGAUCCCUAGCUGGUCUGAGAGGAUGACCAGCCACACUGGAACUGAGACACGGUCCAGA